UAUUGUGACCAUACAUCUGACUGCAAAUUAGUGGCCUGCAACCCAGGUUUUCAACUCUACUGCUACAGAGACAAUGUGUGCACAUGUAUUGCGCAAUCUAGGACGUUUAAUUGCUCGAUGCCCGCUGAGUGUGACCAUGCAUUCGGUAGAUGUUCGCACGGAGAUCACCAUUGGCACUGUGUAGACAACAGAUGUCUAUGCCGUCUCCCCCAUGAUUAAAUAUCCCCGGCAUCAACACCAAAAGUUCAAUGGAUAAUGUUUUAACUGUUUGAAUGUGUUGUUUGAAUAAACUUUGCGUGAAGAACG